rnacentral:rRNA from 1 species
AACUAACGCUGGCGGCGUGCCUAACACAUGCAAGUCGUACGAGAAAGUUGGCUUCGGCCGAUGAGUAAAGUGGCGCACGGGUGAGUAAUGCGUGGAUAAUCUGCCCUUUAGUUGGGAAUAACGUACCGAAAGGUGCGCUAAUACCUGAUAAUACUGCAUAACUACUGUUGUGUAGUCAAAGAAGGCCUCUGUUUACAAGCUUUUGCUGAAGGAUGAGUCCGCGUACCAUUAGCUGGUUGGUGGGGUAAUGGCCUACCAAGGCUACGAUGGUUAGCUGGUCUGAGAGGAUGAUCAGCCACACUGGAACUGAGACACGGUCCAGACUCCUACGGGAGGCAGCAGUGAGGAAUAUUGCGCAAUGGGGGCAACCCUGACGCAGCAACGCCACGUGAGUGAGGAAGGUUUUCGGACCGUAAAGCUCUGUCGAGCGGGAAGAAAUGUAUCAUGGCUAAUAUCCAUGAUACUUGACGGUACCGCUAAAGG